ACCGCCCUCUUUCUUCAUGCCUAACACAUGCAAGUCGAACGAGACCUUCGGGUCUAGUGGCGCACGGGUGCGUAACGCGUGGGAACCUGCCCUUAGGUUCGGAAUAACUCCCCGAAAGGGGUGCUAAUACCGGAUAAUGUCUUCGGACCAAAGAUUUAUCGCCUUUGGAUGGGCCCGCGUUGGAUUAGCUAGUUGGUAGGGUAAAAGCCUACCAAGGCGACGAUCCAUAGCUGGUCUGAGAGGAUGAUCAGCCACACUGGGACUGAGGCACGGCCCAGACUCCUACGGGAGGCAGCAGUGGGGAAUAUUGGACAAUGGGCGAAAGCCUGAUCCAGCAAUGCCGCGUGAGUGAUGAAGGCCUUAGGGUUGUAAAGCUCUUUUACCCGGGAUGAUAAUGACAGUACCGGGAGAAUAAGCUCCGGCUAACUCCGUG
rnacentral:rRNA from 1 species